rnacentral:rRNA from 1 species
GUAAAAAGUAGAAUAAUAGAUUUGAAAUAUUUAUUAUAUAGAUUUAAAGAGAUAAUCAUGGAGUAUAAUAAUUAAAUUUAAUAAAUUUAAUAUAACUAUUAAUAGAAUUAGGUUACUAAUAAAUUAAUAACAAUUAAUUUUAAAACCUAAAGGUAAACCUUUAUAUUAAUAAUGUUAUUUUUUAUUAUUUUUUAUAAUAAGAAUAAUUAUUAAUAAUAAUAAACUAAGUGAACUGAAACAUCUAAGUAACUUAAGGAUAAGAAAUCAACAGAGAUAUUAUGAGUAUUGGUGAGAGAAAAUAAUAAAGGUCUAAUAAGUAUUAUGUGAAAAAAAUGUAAGAAAAUAGGAUAACAAAUUCUAAGACUAAAUACUAUUAAUAAGUAUAGUAAGUACCGUAAGGGAAAGUAUGAAAAUGAUUAUUUUAUAAGCAAUCAUGAAUAUAUUAUAUUAUAUUAAUGAUGUACCUUUUGUAUAAUGGGUCAGCAAGUAAUUAAUAUUAGUAAAACAAUAAGUUAUAAAUAAAUAGAAUAAUAUAUAUAUAUAUAAAAAUAUAUUAAAAUAUUUAAUUAAUAUUAAUUGACCCGAAAGCAAACGAUCUAACUAUGAUAAGAUGGAUAAACGAUCGAACAGGUUGAUGUUGCAAUAUCAUCUGAUUAAUUGUGGUUAGUAGUGAAAGACAAAUCUGGUUUGCAGAUAGCUGGUUUUCUAUGAAAUAUAUGUAAGUAUAGCCUUUAUAAAUAAUAAUUAUUAUAUAAUAUUAUAUUAAUAUUAUAUAAAGAAUGGUACAGCAAUUAAUAUAUAUUAGGGAACUAUUAAAGUUUUAUUAAUAAUAUUAAAUCUCGAAAUAUUUAAUUAUAUAUAAUAAAGAGUCAGAUUAUGUGCGAUAAGGUAAAUAAUCUAAAGGGAAACAGCCCAGAUUAAGAUAUAAAGUUCCUAAUAAAUAAUAAGUGAAAUAAAUAUUAAAAUAUUAUAAUAUAAUCAGUUAAUGGGUUUGACAAUAACCAUUUUUUAAUGAACAUGUAACAAUGCACUGAUUUAUAAUAAAUAAAAAAAAUAAUAUUUAAAAUCAAAUAUAUAUAUAUUUGUUAAUAGAUAAUAUACGGAUCUUAAUAAUAAGAAUUAUUUAAUUCCUAAUAUGGAAUAUUAUAUUUUUAUAAUAAAAAUAUAAAUACUGAAUAUCUAAAUAUUAUUAUUACUUUUUUUUUUAAUAAUAAUAAUAUGGUAAUAGAACAUUUAAUGAUAAUAUAUAUUAGUUAUUAAUUAAUAUAUGUAUUAAUUAAAUAGAGAAUGCUGACAUGAGUAACGAAAAAAAGGUAUAAACCUUUUCACCUAAAACAUAAGGUUUAACUAUAAAAGUACGGCCCCUAAUUAAAUUAAUAAGAAUAUAAAUAUAUUUAAGAUGGGAUAAUCUAUAUUAAUAAAAAUUUAUCUUAAAAUAUAUAUAUUAUUAAUAAUUAUAUUAAUAAUAUAUAUAAUUAUAUUAUAUAUUUUUUUUAUAUAAUAUAAACUAAUAAAGAUCAGGAAAUAAUUAAUGUAUACCGUAAUGUAGACCGACUCAGGUAUGUAAGUAGAGAAUAUGAAGGUGAAUUAGAUAAUUAAAGGGAAGGAACUCGGCAAAGAUAGCUCAUAAGUUAGUCAAUAAAGAGUAAUAAGAACAAAGUUGUACAACUGUUUACUAAAAACACCGCACUUUGCAGAAACGAUAAGUUUAAGUAUAAGGUGUGAACUCUGCUCCAUGCUUAAUAUAUAAAUAAAAUUAUUUAACGAUAAUUUUAUUAAAUUUAGGUAAAUAGCAGCCUUAUUAUGAGGGUUAUAAUGUAGCGAAAUUCCUUGGCCUAUAAUUGAGGUCCCGCAUGAAUGACGUAAUGAUACAACAACUGUCUCCCCUUUAAGCUAAGUGAAAUUGAAAUCGUAGUGAAGAUGCUAUGUACCUUCAGCAAGACGGAAAGACCCUAUGCAGCUUUACUGUAAUUAGAUAGAUCGAAUUAUUGUUUAUUAUAUUCAGCAUAUUAAGUAAUCCUAUUAUUAGGUAAUCGUUUAGAUAUUAAUGAGAUACUUAUUAUAAUAUAAUGAUAAUUCUAAUCUUAUAAAUAAUUAUUAUUAUUAUUAUUAAUAAUAAUAAUAUGCUUUCAAGCAUAGUGAUAAAACAUAUUUAUAUGAUAAUCACUUUACUUAAUAGAUAUAAUUCUUAAGUAAUAUAUAAUAUAUAUUUUAUAUAUAUUAUAUAUAAUAUAAGAGACAAUCUCUAAUUGGUAGUUUUGAUGGGGCGUCAUUAUCAGCAAAAGUAUCUGAAUAAGUCCAUAAAUAAAUAUAUAAAAUUAUUGAAUAAAAAAAAAAUAAUAUAUAUUAUAUAUAUUAAUUAUAAAUUGAAAUAUGUUUAUAUAAAUUUAUAUUUAUUGAAUAUAUUUUAGUAAUAGAUAAAAAUAUGUACAGUAAAAUUGUAAGGAAAACAAUAAUAACUUUCUUAAAAAAUAAAAAUGGAAAGAAUUAAAUUAAUAUAAUGGUAUAACUGUGCGAUAAUUGUAACACAAACGAGUGAAACAAGUACGUAAGUAUGGCAUAAUGAACAAAUAACACUGAUUGUAAAGGUUAUUGAUAACGAAUAAAAGUUACGCUAGGGAUAACAGGGUAAUAUAGCGAAAGAGUAGAUAUUGUAAGCUAUGUUUGCCACCUCGAUGUCGACUCAACAUUUCCUCUUGGUUGUAAAAGCUAAGAAGGGUUUGACUGUUCGUCAAUUAAAAUGUUACGUGAGUUGGGUUAAAUACGAUGUGAAUCAGUAUGGUUCCUAUCUGCUGAAGGAAAUAUUAUCAAAUUAAAUCUCAUUAUUAGUACGCAAGGACCAUAAUGAAUCAACCCAUGGUGUAUCUAUUGAUAAUAAUAUAAUAUAUUUAAUAAAAAUAAUACUUUAUUAAUAUAUUAUCUAUAUUAGUUUAUAUUUUAAUUAUAUAUUAUCAUAGUAGAUAAGCUAAGUUGAUAAUAAAUAAAUAUUGAAUACAUAUUAAAUAUGAAGUUGUUUUAAUAAGAUAAUUAAUCUGAUAAUUUUAUACUAAAAUUAAUAAUUAUAGGUUUUAUAUAUUAUUUAUAAAUAUAAUAUAAUAAUUAUUAUUAUUAAUAAAAAAAAUAUUAAUUAUAAUAUUAAUAAAAUACUAAUUUAUCAGUUAUCUAUAUAAUAUCUAAUCUAUUAUUCUAUAUACU